UACGUAGGGGGCAAGCGUUGUCCGGAUUUAUUGGGCGUAAAGAGCGUGUAGGCGGCCAGACGGGUCCGUUGUGAAAACUAGAGGCUUAACCUCUAGACGUCGAUGGAAACCGUCUGGCUAGAGUCCGGAAGAGGAGAAUGGAAUUCCUGGUGUAGCGGUGAAAUGCGCAGAUAUCAGGAAGAACACCCGUGGCUAAGGCGGUUCUCUAGUACGGUACUGACGCUGAGACGCGAAAGCGUGGGGAGCGAACAGG
rnacentral:rRNA from 1 species